rnacentral:rRNA from 1 species
GAUGAACGCUGGCGGCGUGCCUAAUACAUGCAAGUAGAACGCUGAAGGAGGAGCUUACUCUUCUGGAUGAGUUGCGAACGGGUGAGUAACGCGUAGGUAACCUGCCUGGUAGCGGGGGAUAACUAUUGGAAACGAUAGCUAAUACCGCAUGACAACAGUUAUUGCAUGAUAACUGUUUAAAAGGGGCAACUGCUCCACUACCAGAUGGACCUGCGUUGUAUUAGCUAGUUGGUGAGGUAACGGCUCACCAAGGCGACGAUACAUAGCCGACCUGAGAGGGUGAUCGGCCACACUGGGACUGAGACACGGCCCAGCCUCCUACGGGAGGCAGCAGUAGGGAAUCUUCGGCAAUGGACGGAAGUCUGAACGAGCAACGCCGCGUGAGUGAAGAAGGUUUUCGGAUCGUAAAGCUCUGUUGUAAGAGAAGAACGAGUGUGAGAGUGGAAAGUUCACACUGUGACGGUAUCUUACCAGAAAGGGACGGCUAACUACGUG